rnacentral:lncRNA from 1 species
GAAAAAGGGAGGGGAGCCUAGAAAGGGGACUGCAGGAGCCAGGGUGAGAGGACAGGCAGCAGCUUUAACUAGGAUGCCAAGAUUAUAAUUUCCACAUGGUGAGGCACCCCUUCUGCCGUGUUUUGCCCUAUUCCCGGAGCCUAGGACACAGCCUUUAUGGAGUGUAGCCUGAUAAUGUAGUUACUGAAUGAAACAAAUCUUCCUGGCACACGUUCUUCACCCCUGAAAACAACAUGGAUGAUGAGUGCAGACUGCAAAACAGCUCACUGGCAAUUGCUCUCAAUUCACUCAAACCCUGCGAAGACUGAUGCCUUGUCAUGAAGACAUAAGAGAGAUAUAAAAGAGCGAAACACCACACAUGAAGCUAAGAACUGUUAGGGAGGAAGAAAAGACGGGAAGAGAGCAACAUACAUCAUCCUAUUACGGAGGCAAGGAAAGGGGAGAAGAGAUAAAGACCAGGAGGGAAACGCGGACGGGAGCUGAUGAGGCAUCACCAUGCAAGAACAUUGCUCCAGAUGGCCGAAGGGAAGGUGCUGGCAUCGCUGCACUCAGGAUUAUUAUCCUAUAACUAGCAAAGCAUAUUUACUAAGGAGAGGCUGGUUUUUCUUCCGUACUAAGAAGGAUAAUUUCAGCUAAUUAAUUUGUUCUGCUGAACUGACAGCCACCGAGGAUGUGUCUGCAUGCCUUAUAAGCAUAUUCUUGGUUCAUUUACUGAGAUCCCACAGAGAAGUUCAAUAUCUAGAGUUAAGCAAAUAAAAAAUAAGUUGUUCUUGUUUCAAGGACCAAGCUCGGGACAUGAAAAGCAUCAAAGUGCUCUAAGCAGGAGGACAAUGACAUGCAACAUCUGAGGCAUUGUUAAGGCCUGGCCUACUCAAUGCAUAUUGUCACACGCCAACCAUUUUCCAGAUACCUAGGUUCAUGCUAAAGGUACAGAUAUCAGCACAGCUCCACCCUGAAAUAAAUCACAGUAUAAUGAGGCAGACACACCCAGAAACAACUCUGACACAGGGCAAAAAGAAAUGAGUUGCUAAACACAAAAUUAAGCUACAUGACAUGGGAAUACAAGGAAGGAAUGCAAACAGGAGAAGGGUGUUCAACACUUUGUGUUUGUGCACAUCUUAUCACUGUGCUAUGCAAAUCUCUACAUUCAUACAGAGCUGCAUACAAACGAGGGUAGGUUGGUGAUAUGAUAAACAAAAUACCAUCCUAGAGAUUGAAAGUAUGGAACUUCCUACAAACAUUGGCCAAGUGGUAUGUGGUAAAUGAGGACAACACUGCAAAUAGCGCCACUGCCUGUGGCCACCCGAUGCAGUGCUCACCCAGGAGGGCUGCUCUGCUGGGGAGCUGCAGGAUGGCACCAAUAGCUCUGCUUCGAGCCCAGGUCAAUAAUAAGAAGAGGGGUUGCCAUUUCCAGCAAGAGGUUGCAAACAUCAUUUCUCUGGGCUCCAAUUGUCUGAUGGUGCCCUGUUCUACAGAAGGGUCAACUAUACAACAGACAGGUGUGUGUAAAGCUGGAUGCUUAAGAAAUGUGACAAGGUUAGAGGGAAAACAUGCUCCAAAGCAAAGUUUCAGUGUGGUAAUUGAAGAUGAACAUGGGGUCAUUUUAAAACCAUGUCUGAAUCCCAACAGAGCAUGUUCCGACAUGGUUCAGCUUGACUGCUUUAUGUAAACAUGAAAAUGCCAUCGCCUGGCAAAACAAACUUCUCCCAGGAGAGCCUGUUCUCUCAACACAACAAGAGGAAAGGGAUAGUGGAAGCAGGAGAGUUGAGACCAUGAAGUCAUGAAGUUCAAGAAUGCCUUCCUUUGAAGGUUUAAUACAGAAAAGCUUUCGGGGGAAGGAGGAGAGUUUAAAGAAGUCCUGGUUCUCCGGCAUCCACAGUAAUACCUUUGCCUUGAAGGAGAAAGAUGGCCUUGGCUAUCAAGAAUGGGGAGAAAAGGCAGAAGCUACCACCCAAAAUUUUCAGAGCACCAACCAAAUCAAAGGAAAUAAAUACUAAUGGGUGAAGUAGAGUUUAAAAAUAACACAAGUAAUGUACACUCUCCCCUUACUAUUGUUUUUAAUUUUUAAUUUUUUAAUUGACAGUUUGUACAUAUUUAUAGGAUACAAUUUGAUAUUUUGAUACAUAUGUAUGUUGUAAAAUGAUCAAAUCAGGGCACUUAGUGUGUCCAUGAUCUCAUGCAUUUAUCAUUUAUUUGUAGUGAGAAUAUUCCAAAGCCUCUUAUCUAGCUAUUUUGUAAGGUACACUAUCAUCUUACUGUCAACCACAGUCACUCCACUGUAUAACAGAACAUCAAAACAUAUUCCUCUUAUCUAAUUGUAACUUUGUAUUUGCUGUUGCUAGUUCUAUCAUUUUAACAGAGAGAGAAAUAAACUUCCAGCUACAACAAUCAUGGAAUCACAGCUCUAUGUCUCCCACCUAAAAAUAUUUCCUACACAAAAUGCAAGGUAGACGUAGGUUUCAAAACUUAUCUGCACUCUAUUUUAUGAUCUUUGUUUUCAUUUUCAUAUAUGUGAGCAUAUUUCUAUUAUGUUAUUAAAAUGUGGUAGUAAUUGCUGCAUGGUAUUUAUUCCAAACUCCAAAACCUUCAAAUCCUGUAUCACUGAACAAACUGUUUCAAAUUUCCCAUUAAUCUUAUGUUAAAAAUAAAC